AAAAAAAAACCUUGCGUGGGGGCGUAUGUGUUUGGAGUAAAAGUGGGCUUGGUUAAAUUUGGUUUUCCCAAAAACAAAACCAACCAAAAAAAAAAAAAAACACUUUGUUUGUACACGCGCACUCUGCAGGACGAUACCAAGUGCAACUGUUGCAGGGGUGCCAGAAUCCGCUCAAGUUUACGACUUCCACGCUCGGAGCCCACAACAACUUAAAUCAAAGCUCGUUGCCUUUCUUUGAGCUAUUUUGCUGUUUCAAAGUGUCGACGUGGGUUUCCGCGUGACGCGCAUGGAACCUCCCGCUCGUCAAACACUUGCACGACAUUAUGUCACAAAGAGUUCACCCGCCGAACAUCAAAGUUAUUUCAAAAACAAUCCAACCGACCUGAACAAAUGUCAUUUGAAUACAUGAAAAGACGGCAUCAUCAAUGUGCCCCAUUUUGAAUAUAUUUGUAUUUAUUAUCAUCGACCGCAAAAUGAUACAGGAUUAACAGAGGUGUGAAUGUCCAUCCAUCCCUUCUCCUCACGCGGGUCGCGGGAGCCUUGAAACGCUGGACCCCUGGAACGCUGGAGCCCACCCCAGCCAUCCUCGGGCAGGAGGCGCCGCUUCAGGUUUUCAGGUGGAGAUUUGAAUAACAACAAAGUCGCAUGUGCCCUCCCGCUGCCACCCCUUAGCAUGCAGCAUAGAAGCGUGGAAUGCCUUCCUACUUCUCGCGCUUCGGUCGACUGUGCUUGUGGCUCGUUGCAGUCUACAAAGGCUUAAAUGGUAUAGCAGACCAGACCAAUGAUAACAAGAUUGCGGGUAACAUGAACUCACAGCAGGGUGGUCCCGGCCCAGCGUCUUCUCCCUGAUGGCCAGAGCGUCAUUCAGCAGAAUCUCUUUUGAGACCGACCUGUAGACGAGGGCCAAGAUGUUGAGCAUGGUGGCCACGUCGGGGUGGUCGUGGCCCGACGUCUUCUCCAGGUCCUCCAGGGCCUGCUUGCAGAGCGGCACGGCCACCUCGUAGCGGC